GUGCGUAGGCACUAAGGCGCCUAAGCUGGGAGUGAGUAGACUGGCGGCACUGGCGGCACUGGCUGAGCAAAGGGGUGAGCGAAGUGCCAGUAAAGCCACUUUGGAAGUGAAUGGAACACGAUAAUAGUCUCAGUUUUAUUAGAAAACUGGACAGCGUGAUCCAGAGGUCCUGCGGCGCUGCCGUAGGGUAACCCAGAGUUCAAGCACAGGUGAACAUCAGAUCCUGAUCUCACCCUUCUGUUUGGUUAGAAGGCAUCCUGACCCAAGGCCCUCUUGAGUUUCCAGUUCAUUGCCAUCGACUGGAAGACAUGUGUUCUAAUCAAGAUUUGGAAGGGCAGCAAGUUGGAAC